ACAAGGUUUCUGCCAUCUGAAUUUUACAAACUGGUGAGAGGGAGGAGGGGGAAGGGCCCAAAGGGAGGGUGAGCAAGCACAGGUAAGGGGUGCAGAAGGGAGGGCCAUCUGGUAUUGACAGGGGACUACACAAAUGGCAGAAGAGAUGUGGUGAAAUCAAGUCUUAAAUGAAGAGCCUCGUUUUGUCCAAAUCUGGCCCAUCUCUGAAGGUUCAGGUAACCUUUGACCUCUGGUGGCAACCACUUCCUGCCCGCUCACGCUCACCCACACCCCUCUCUCUGAGCAUUUAUAACACUCCAGCAGGUAUUUGUCACAUAACUGAUGCUAUUUCCAUGUCUUUAUUUAGGUGCGCCCUUCUUUUUGCUUCCCCAAAAGACUGGAACUGCCCUUUGCCUCUCCCGAGCCUGCCGGACUAGACUUCCAAGUGCUAGACCCUGCAAUAGUGUUCUUUUUGAGAGUCACAAGAUUUUGCAUUUGAACCCAGCUCUGCCACUGAAAAACCACGUGCCCUCGGAGAAGUUCCUUAUACUAUCUUCUCGGUAUCCUUCUCAAGUGAAGACCAGUGUGGGAGAAGUGUGCAGCACAGACAGGGAAGAGGAGGGCACAAGAGAAAUGACAGCAGCUGGAGGCACCUACAAGCAGCCAGGCACUUGAGAAUUGACUGGACAUUUGGUGACAAUGGUAACAACAGAGCACAACUGCUGGGUUAUGUCCCGACUGCUUCACCCCAAUCCUUCAGUACAAACCCUUACUCUCCCCAUUUUGUAAAUGAGGAAAAUGAGGCACAGAAGGGAUAAGUGACUUGCUUAGGGUCUCACACAGCUAUUAAGUGACAGAGACAGGAUUGCGGCCCCAGCUUCCUGUGGCCAGAGUUCAUGUUUUCAAUCCCUGAGCCCUAUGGCCUCUGCACACCUGGAGAGAAAUGGGAUGGGGCUCUAAAGAGGCAAGUUAUAUACCGGAAUUUGGGGGGUAGUCUCUAUUUCAAACAAUGUCUUGAAUUCCUUGAAGAACGUGAAACGGGGCCCCUGAUCUGGAGGCUGGUACCCGCCCUGAGGACGUGGCGUUCUCCAGUCGAACAUCAACGAUUUCAGAGAAUACUCACGUCGGACAAGACUGCUGUGAUCACGAUGGAUCGCAACAAAAGUAAGGCAAGCAGCUAUUUAUGUUUGAAGACACACAAACCACAAACAUCGUCCAAAACACAGGAAUGACCAAACACGGCCCUAAACGUAUUAUUCCUCCUGCCUGAUUGACAAGAAUUCUCGAGCCCCUUUAUCGAGUCCUCUGUUUCCUGAAAGUGUCCAAUCCAGAGCAAAGCCUCGCUUCCUUGAACCCACCCUCAAAUCACCUAAUACAAACCCAAAACCUAUAAUAAAUAAUUUUUGAAAGCA